rnacentral:lncRNA from 1 species
GUCUGGUCUAACACAGGUGUCAGUAACAUCACUAACGACUUCCUACUGGGACGCUGCAGUGACGCACAGCCCUGAUCGGCGUUAUUAGUUCCACCUGUGCAGGUCACAACGCCUGCUGUGAGAUCUGCUUUUUACAUCACUAAGAUUCUUGUCAAGCAAACUGUGCGCUCAAUACAGGCCUUGCAGGGUUCAUGCAGAGUGACACCGCCAGGCACCACCGUGCUGUCAUACCGACUGUCCUGGAGGAGGCGCUGAAGCCUGCAGACAUCGACUGUGUGUCUUACACCAACGGUCCGAGUGGAGCAGCUCAUGUGCUCCACAGCACUUAGUGAAGGUGGCCACGAGGUCACAUCCUUCAAAGGAGAGCAACAGCUUUUUGGGAGAUUCGCCAACUUUGCCCGUGAAGUGAUGAGAGCGUCGACAAUAAAAU